AACCCUUGUGUGAAGAGUGCUGGGGACUGAUUUUUAUAAAGCCCUCUCCUGACCCGGACCAGUUCCAUUCCUCCUACUGGAGCUUCGCAGAGCCCUGAUGGGGUACAGUUCCUCGCGUUGUGCAGCGGCGAAACUGACUCUUAGAAAGGUUGAGGAACUUGCCCAGGGUCACACAGCUGGGGAGUGGUCGAGCUAGGAUUUUAACCCAAGUCGUCCGGCCUCCAAAAGCCAGAUUCUCUCCGACGUUAGCGCCGCGCCCCCAGGGCGGAGGACUGCGUUCCCUAACACCGCAGACACAAGGUGCCUUGGGUGUGAUUGAAAGACGCGAACGCGGGCCACCCAUCUCUGGCUGAUGGGUGGCUGCGCUUGCAGCCCCCGCAGAGGCUGAGCGUCGGCGGGAGCCGCUCGGGCUGUUACCGUAAGUCUCAGAGGAGCGGGGCACAACGGGAAAGGUAACUAAGAGUAGGACGGGCCGGAGGGCGCCGCAACGUGGAGAGACUGCGUUCCCGGCUCUGAAGCCUGACCUUGAAGGAGUGAGGGUGCGCACGCGCCCGAGGCAAGUCAGCCUUACUGUUCUUGGAAAGAAUUAGAAGAGGAAAGAAAGGUCACUGCUUUAAAAAUAGGCAUGGAAAGAGCCAAAGGAACCCGGAUCCAGGAUGUAACUCUGCCCUGGUCUUCGGCCCUGAGGAAGGGGUCUGUACUUUCACAAGCGGCAACAGUCAGGCGAUGAUUUUCAUCUUAAAUACAGCCCAUCAGCAACUGAAGAACCACAUGACCUCCAAAAAUUGACCAGUCUUCUUUGGAUUCCUUCCUUCCAUCACAGACCUCAUUUUUCCCCCCGCAUAGGCAGCGGAAAAAAGGAAAAGCUCAUGUGCUCAGGCUCUAAGGUAAGAGCGUGACAGGCACACGUUCAUUCAUGUCUCACAGCAAUCCCUGGAGGGGAGCAUGGGUCUCCCCACUUUAUGCGUGAGGAAACUGAGGCAGAGAGAGGUUAAGCAACUGGCCUGCAGUCCCACAGGCCUGAGGUAAACGAGAGCCAAAGGAAAACCCAGGCUUGUAAAUAUGCAGUUUAACUUCCAAUAGCUAUAAAUCUACUUUCCCUAGGGAUGUAAAUUCUGAGAUCUUAUGAUCCAGCAGGAAAGGAGCAGCAAGGAGCCGGUCUACAGUGCAGUGAGGCCUGGAUUUUGAGUCCAGGAGGGAGAGAGACAGACCCCAGGGACCUUUGGGAAGGUAGAGGAUAAUCUAUAGCUGCGAUGAGAACAGAAUCCAUGGUGGAGGACUGCUCUCAAAUUUUCCCAGCCAAGAUUUCUGAUACUUCAAAGACAGUUGGUGGCAAGGUAGGAGGAUGUGCUUGGAAGACAGACAGACCUGAGCUUCAACCUCAACUCUGGCACUUACUGGCCGGUGACCUUGAGCGGACCAAAGCUUCAGGAUGUCAGAUCUAAGAAACAAGCCACCUGCCUCUCAGAGCAGAUUUAAGGAGAUACAAAAUGGAAGAGGUCUUAGCACAGUGCCUGGCCUCCAGGGGGUCCUCGAUGAGAGUAAAUUCCCUGUUGUCUCCCCCUUGGUAAUGCCCCUACUUCACCUCCUGUGUCUGUGAUUCUCCUUUCUCAAUACUGUACCCUUGGUGAGUGAGAACCAGCGGAGAAUGUCAAGUGAAAGGGCAUGGCCCAGCGAACCAAUAAUAUGCUUGUGCCCCUCUCCCUGCAUGGUGACUGACAUUUCCCAGAAAUAAAUAACUGCAUAGCAUUCAGGCUUUCAUGCAUCUGUUGAAGUUCAACAAAUAUGGCGGUAACUCCAUUCACUGGGAUCUGGGAUAGUGAGAAGAAAAUCAAGACACGUCUCGUGUGCUAAUGGAAUUGUCCCUUCAUGGUAGUUUAAAAGCAUAGGCAGAUGAUCCAUAAAUAAUAAUAAACGUAGUGGCAAUGUGGUAUAAUAUAGAAUAGGUAAGUGCACGGACUCAAGUUAGAUUGCUUGGGUUCUACUCCGGCUGUGCCGCUCACCGUGCUAGCUGUGUGAUGUUGAACAAGUCACUUAACUUCUUUAGGCCUCAGUUUCCUCCUUCGUAAAAUGGGGCCAUAUGAGGUCAAAACGAGUUGGUACGAGUUAGUACCUAUAAAGCACUUGAAAGCGUGCCUGGCAUAUAGUAAGCGUCAAUAAACAGUACUGUUAUUACGGUGGGGUGUUACUUCCCUGAAUAUGAGCCUAAGGGAGUUCUGUGAAUCUGGAAUGAAAAAGAAGAGGAGGAAGCAAGAGCCCUUUGCCUGGAGCAAGGAUACCAGUGAGUGCAACCUGCCUUCGGGGUUUCACUACUGGCUCCACGAUGAGUGGGCUUGGAGGAGUCACUGAACCUUCAGGAGCUCCUAUUUACUCGCGUGUAAAAUGGGUGUGAAUAACAGCUGCCUUACCUUCUUCUCGUAGUUAUUGCCCCAAAUAGAGCCCAAUUGCCUGUCAGUUUAGCUUUUGAUCUUUGAACUCAUAAAGGUUUUCUUCUGCUCAUUACGGGGUACGCCCUCCGGGAGGAGCCACAUUUUAAGCCAUUACCUGCUCAGUCCUUAGUGACACAUCAGCACUUUACCAGUAUCCUAGGAAUGGGUGAGAGGAGGGCUGGAGACACGACUGAGGACAGGAGGAGAGCAGGAGUUGAGAACACUUUCAAGACCCCUCACUCCCUGCACAUGGUUAACUGAGAAGCAUCCUGCCCGGUGCCUUACAGUAAUGUCACUGGUUUAAUCCCACAAGUCUUGUAAAUUGCCAAAGGAGAAUGGUCCCUGCCAGUCUCUUUUCUAUUGUGAGGGAAGAGAGGAAGUUACGGUGGUGUGGGACUUUCUCCAGUAUCUACGGGACGUGAAUAGUGUAAGCAAUGAAAGGAGGGCGCCAUGUUGGGCAAUUUUUAAUGGGACUUUGGGAGAUGGAGGGAAUGCAUUACAAAGAGUUCUCCUUUCUCCAGAGAGCUGACUUAAAGGCACAGCAAAUUUGGAAAGCAAUAUUACCUGAAUCCUCCUCACCAGCUUUUCCUCCCAGCUUCUUAUUCCUAUGCCCAGCAGAAGAUUCUGAUGCUAUUAGUCUUCCUGGUGAAGGUUCCAGGAAUCCCCAAAGGACACUUCGGUUUGACUCAAUCUAAAUAAUAUUUACUGUGAUCCUACUGUGUGCCCCACCCUGAGCUAGUCACUUGGUAACAGAGUUACUGUGACAGAGACAGCCAUCUGCCCUUCUUUCAUGAUGAAAGAGCAUCCAGACUUCAGCCGUCCACGUGGCUUUCAGGUCUAAACACCACAUUCUUCUAUCUUUCUUGCAACUAGUAGAUUUAGGACUAAAUUCAGCAGACUAAAUGUCAGCAGGAAUGUCAUAUGGCAGCGUCCUUACGAAACAAACCUAUAUGGCGAAUUAUGUAACAUCGUCACAGAACUUCAGGUUACACUAAACUUUUUUCCAGGCAGGUGGUGAACCAAAGAAAAAGUUGCUAAAGUACCACCAGCGAACUAAUGAUUUUUAUGUAUUAUACCUUAUGCCACCUAUAAGAAUUUGUUUUACCUGCGCAGUGAUAGCAUCUCAGUGAGAUAUUGUGGAGGGGUUGUGAAGAAGGCAAACGAGAAGUUUCCCGGGAGAUAGAACGACGACGAACAAGCCUUUCUCAGAAGACCAGUUGCAAAAAACAGCCAACUCUUCUGAUUCUAUUCUGUUCGCAAUUUGCUGCGAGACUUUAAGUGAGCUAUGAAACAUCUUGGACCUUAUUAAAAGGGGGUGGUAAUUUCACAUAGAGUGGGUGUUGCUAAGCCUUCUUGAUUUUAAAUCCAAACUCAGCCUCUCUCACAAAAAAAAAAAAAAAAAAAAGUGUAGCUUUUGUAAGCUGUUCCCUUACUGCUGAGGAGGUAAAAGGAUAUGUCUGAAGAGCUAUUGCAGUUAUAAAUAGAUAUUCCAUAUGCCAACUUAACAUAAAUGCCUCAAACUUUUAUUUCCUUGAUGGAGAAACAUCAGGAUCUCUGGCCUGUUUUACAUGCUUUAGCCUUGGGUGGGAAAUGCCCCGAAGUAAAAUAAGAGGCCAUUUCAGAAGUAUUCCUCCUUUCCCACACCACUUAUUAUCUCUAACAACUCAUUUUCCAUCCACCGUGUUUCCCUGUACUGGUUUUAUGGUAGGGGAGUCUCGGGCCCUCUGCUAGUCUAGCCAAUUCUUUCUGGCUCCCCAGUGAAACAUGGAGGACAAAGCUCAAAAUUAUGACAGGACUGGCCAUGUGAUGUGGCUGUUACUUUUCUGGUUUCCAUCUACCCUGCAGGUGGCAAGUUUGAAGGUUUGGGGAAAUUCCCUGACGGCUGAGAUGCACCAAUUUCCAAUGGGACCAGAUUAGCACAUUCAACUAUAAUUGCCAUCGUACUGGCAAGGUCAAUUUUCAGGCUGUGCAUGAGGAUGAGAACAGCUACCCACAGAUAUAGAUGGAGGCAAGAGAUGUUUGGCUGGUCUGACCAAUGACUACUAGGUCGAAAGCCCAAGAGCCCAGGUAAGAGUUACGUGCAACAUCUAUGGCCAAUGGCUAUACUGUAUUAAGGCCCCAGGCAGCCCAGAAAAUUGGCCAGUGGUUCAGGAAGGUGGGCUCUAGACCCGUUCUUGCCAUCCCCUGGCUGGGUGACCUUGGAUAAGUUGUUUCACUCUUAUGAGCCCUCAUCAGUGGAUAGAGUACCAAUCCUAGUUCCACCCCACACUGGGAGACCUUAGCCAACUCACAGCCUGGAGUAUCAGAGGAAG